GAGCUCGUAGGCGGUUUGUCGCGUCUGCUGUGAAAGCCCGGGGCUCAACCCCGGGUCUGCAGUGGGUACGGGCAGACUAGAGUGAUGUAGGGGAGACUGGAAUUCCUGGUGUAGCGGUGAAAUGCGCAGAUAUCAGGAGGAACACCGAUGGCGAAGGCAGGUCUCUGGGCAUUAACUGACGCUGAGGAGCGAAAGCAUGGGGAGCGAACAGGAUUAGAUACCCUGGUAGUCCAUGCCGUAAACGUUGGGCACUAGGUGUGGGGGACAUUCCACGUUUUCCGCGCCGUAGCUAACGCAUUAAGUGCCCCGCCUGGGGAGUACGGCCGCAAGGCUAAAACUCAAAGGAAUUGACGGGGGCCCGCACAAGCGGCGGAGCAUGCGGAUUAAUUCGAUGCAACGCGAAGAACCUUACCAAGGCUUGACAUGAACCGGUAAAGCGUAGAAAUACGCUCCCCACUUGUGGCCGGUUUACAGGUGGUGCAUGGUUGUCGUCAGCUCGUGUCGUGAGAUGUUGGGUUAAGUCCCGCAACGAGCGCAACCCUCGUUCUAUGUUGCCAGCGGGUUAUGCCGGGGACUCAUAGGAGACUGCCGGGGUCAACUCGGAGGAAGGUGGGGACGACGUCAAAUCAUCAUGCCCCUUAUGUCUUGGGCUUCACGCAUGCUACAAUGGCCGGUACAAAGGGUUGCGAUACUGUGAGGUGGAGCUAAUCCCAAAAAGCCGGUCUCAGUUCGCAUUGAGGUCUGCAACUCGACCUCAUGAAGUUGGAGUCGCUAGUAAUCGCAGAUCAGCAACGCUGCGGUGAAUACGUUCCCGGGCCUUGUACACACCGCCCGUCAAGUCACGAAAGUUGGUAACACCCGAAGCCGGUGGCCUAACCCCUUGUGGGAGGGAGCCGUCGAAGGUGGGACCGGCGAUUGGGACGAAGUCGUA
rnacentral:rRNA from 1 species